GCGUUUGACCUCAAAUCAGGUAGGAUUACCCGCUGAAC
rnacentral:rRNA from 1 species